rnacentral:antisense_RNA from 1 species
CUUGACCGACCCCAGCCACAGCGGGUCGCCCGCGCGGUCCUGACCGUAGGUCGCCAGCAGUGCCCCGGCCUC